GGGCCCGCACAAGCGGUGGAGCAUGUGGUUCAAUUCGACGCAACGCGAAGAACCUUACCUGGGCUAGACAACGGCGGACCGUCCUAGAAAUAGGAUCUUCCCUUCGGGGACCGCCGGUUCAGGUGCUGCAUGGCUGUCGUCAGCUCGUGCCGUGAGGUGUUGGGUUAAGUCCCGCAACGAGCGCAACCCUUGUCCUUAGUUGCCACCAUUCAGUUGGGCACUCUAGGGAGACUGCCGGCGUUAAGCCGGAGGAAGGUGGGGACGACGUCAAGUCAUCAUGGCCCUUAUGUCCAGGGCCACACACGUGCUACAAUGGGCGGUACAAAGGGUCGCGAACCCGCGAGGGGGAGCCAAUCCCAAAAAGCCGCUCUCAGUUCGGAUUGGAGUCUGCAACUCGACUCCAUGAAGUUGGAAUCGCUAGUAAUCGCGGAUCAGCACGCCGCGGUGAAUACGUUCCCGGGCCUU
rnacentral:rRNA from 1 species